ensembl:lncRNA
AUGGACUUCUUUAAUAUCUAUAGGUUGUCCUGUGAUAGGGAGGUUGUGAGAAUGUUGCGGGGGCGCACGCUGGGGAACAGUGCCACAGCUCUGCACAGGCACCUGUGCCUCAGGCAUAAAGAAUAUUUCCUGGGCCAGUCAACAAUGUACCUGUCUGUGCUGAGGAAUUUUGUGACCCAGAACACUGAUCCCAGCAGUCUCAUUGCCGCGCUGCCACAGAUGGUGCCUGUCCCUAGUCCAUCUUGGCUGCUCUCAGUGUACGCCAAAGAAGUACUGACACGGCUUCCUGAACUGAAGGCCCGUGUCACCUCUGUCUAUGGCUCCAUUUUAAAGACGGAUUCCACCAAAAAGGUCACCAAGAAGCUAGCUGGUCAUGCUGCUGGCAUCGCUGCGUGGGUGACAGAUGUGGGGAACAAAAUUGGACAAGUCCUCAUGUUUGUCCUCAUAGAAAGAGAGGGAAAGGAUGAAAGAGAUUUGGCGGACACAUCAGCGCCACAUCGACUGCAUCCAGGACCCACCAGGUGUGCAGCUAUACACGAAGAUAGGGCAGGUGACCAAAGGGGAGGUCAUUCUGCCCCAGUAUGGCUGUGCACGUGGCUCAACAUCCUUGGAGUCCUUCCACCUACACCUAAACCGCUUUUUCCAGUUGUCAGUUUUGCCAGUUGUUUGUUCAUGUGUUUUCCAUGGUGCUAACUUCGUUCUGCCUGCUUUUUCAGGAACAAGUGCAAGUGACCUUCAUUUUCAGAUGUACUUGAUGGAAGGGCUUGUACAGUGGAAUGAGGCUUGUGUGGUUGCUGCUGUUAAAGGUGGAGGCAGAAAGGAUAUCUGCUAUAGUGGCCAACUGCAGCAGUACGCCAACAUCCUGAGCCAGCUAUUUAAGGGCCUUAAUUUGGCGGAGGACUACACCAGUAGUCUGAUUGUCGUGAUUGUCUACAGGAGAACUCAUUGCCAUGGAAUACUUGUAUUCCCAAACUAAUAAAGCUUUUGAGGAAGACUUCGGUGCGGAUCCUGAUACUCCAGAUGGGAUUCAGGAUGGACACAUGAAGAUUGAUCUGGAGAGUGAUGAGGGGUUUGAGGAUGUAGACUUGGAUGGUGAGCCCCUUGAAAUCAUGGGGCUCAGCCUCGAUAUCCCAGAACCCAUUCAGCAGUAAGCAGAGGCCAUGCAACCUUUAAUUAAUACUAUUUAAUACUUAUUUUAUCAUAUCAGUGCAGAAUUUAUCUAACACUUUUGGUGCAAGAAUUAAAAAUAUAGCAACACUAGAUUAUAAUAAGACCAUUUUUAAGAUAACUGAAGUUCCUGAAAAUAAAAUUUGUAAAACAAUAAGCACUUUAAAGUCCUCAAAGGCAAAGGACACAUUCAAGUGGGAUUCAACAUUUUUAAAGAACAAUUUUUACUCCCUUAGCACCCCCAUUACACACCUAGUCAAUUUAUCGAUAAAGCAAUCAAUUUUCCCAGCUGCCUGGAAACAUGCAGUGUUAGUUCCGAUUUUUAAGGCAGGGGAACCUACUGAUGUAGCUAACUAUAGACCUAUCAGCAUUUUGCCGGUGGCAUCAAAGAUUGCAGAAAAAGUGGUAACUGAGCAGUUAACCGACUUUCUAAAUUCUGGACAAAUACUUCAUCCAAUGCAAUUUGGUUUUAGGAAAAAUUACUCGACCGAAAUGGCUACUUGCUAUUUUGUUGAAAAAAUCAAAUCAAAACUAGACAGUGGGAGUGCUGUAGGAGCAGUUUUUUGGAUUUAAAAAAAGCUUUCGAUACAGUAAAUCAUAAUAUUCUUCUUUCUAAGUUGUCAAACUUUAAUUUUUCUGAUGAUGCUAUGAAAUGGAUGGAGUCCUAUCUUACCAUGAGAAGACAAAGCACCAGAGUUGGGAAUAAAAUGUCAUCAUUCAGUAGCUGUUCUGUUGGCGUCCCGCAAGGCUCAGUCUUAGGCCCUUUGUUAUUCAGUCUAUAUGUUAACGAUCUACCACUAGCAUGUCCUCAAGUUGACACCCAAAUGUAUGCAGAUGACACGGUCAUUCUGGCACAUGGAAGAGACCGAUAUGAAGUGGCAACUAAAUUAACAGCAGCAAUGGCAAAAAUUGCCACCUGGCUCUCUGAGACUUGCAUGACGCUAAACGUCAGUAAAACUGUGUGUAUGUAUUUUUAUAUAAGGAAAAAUAAAAAAAUCAGCCAGAUGUCGUUGUAAAUGGGGAAAAAAUCCAGAUUGUGUCACAUUUAAAAUAUUUGGGAGUUACUCUUGAUUCACAGUUGUCUUUUAAGAAACAUAUAAAGCAGGUUUGUAAUACUGUUAAAUUUAAUUUGAGAAAUUUUAGACACAUUCGUAAUCAGUUACCUCUAGAUGCUGCCAAAUUGUAUAUGCACUCAAUGAUUUUCUCACAUUUUACAUACUGCAUUACAAGUUGGUCACAAACCGGAAAAACAAUACUUGCUCCACUACAAACGCUAUAUAAACAAACUCUCAAAGUAUUAGAUAAAAAGCCAUUAGGGUAUCACUACUGUAAUAUCAUCCAAAAGCACAAACUCUUGACUUUUGACAAUUUUAUGUGCUUUACCAAUGUUUGCUUAGUUUACAGAGUAAUUAAUAAUCUGGCUGCACCCCCAUUAAAGGAGUUCAUGUUAUUGCUCUCAGAUAGUCGGCAAACAGUUGUAACACUAAUGAGCGGAUGGUAUUCAACCAUCUGUUUCAUAUUAAUGAAUCCUGAGUCUCUAACACGUCCUGCACUCAGAGAGAAGAACUUCAAAAAAACAAAAGAUAAGGACUUUUGUUUUUACGACAUCCUCCAACAUAAAACCCCCCCUUGGGCGCCGCGAUGUCGAUAACAUCCCAGCCCUCGUGACAUUUAUUACACCUUCGAGAUGAUCCAGAGACACUCUCGUGAGCAUCAAAGGAAAGAAACACCCGCCCUUUUGGUCACAGCACGACGACAUUCCAGACACACACACACACACACACACCCACACGAGCAUUUCUGGCUCACACAUGAACACUUUUGAUAAACUACCUCUAAAUGUAUUAAAUGUAUCUCUUUAUGUGCUUAGAUGUCUUCACGUGAUAUAGUGGAAUAGAUAUAAUGUUUACUGUGUGUUUAAUCAAACUUUAUAUGCCUGUAGUUAGGAACAACUCUGUAUCUCUGUAUCCCUGACUCGCAAAGUUAUAGUUUAUGGUGUCUGUAUGAUCGUAGAAACCCGACUGUGACGAAUCUCAACGGCAAAUUACAAAAAAAGAUGCAUUGUUUCAGAAGUACAAUCUUUCUGAGGAAAAAUGUGUAAUUUUGUCAUCGCCAUGAAUUAGACCAGUGGGCGGAAAUCAGCAGACAAAGAAGAUUUUUCCCGCCUCAGUUUCUCACACCUCAUUGGUUCAUAAGGUGACAUAGGUGUGAACCAACCUUUCAAUAAAAACAAAAGAAAACCCUUGCUCGUGGCAUUCCGCCAGAGAGAGAGGGGGGUUUCCCAGUUCGCGAUCGGACUUCUCAAGAAGUCCCUCCGUUUCUUCUUCUUUACUUUUUCGUUUUAUCUUAGUUUUUCUUUAUUGUCUUCUGAUAUUUGACUUCGUUCAAUUGUUCUCACGAGCCAAACGAACUUAAGUCUAAUCAUCUUUUGGCAAAGUUUACAUUCGCGUUAACCACGAACUCACGCAUCACCAGCUCCGGAGCGGACAACGCAGAAGCUACAACAACGGACAAUUUGAGCUCAGCUACACACAAGAGCCAGAUCAAAGCAAGUACUUUCUUAUAUCGCAACUUAAAAAUUGCUGUUUAAGGUUGUCUAGGCUAUUCCACUUUUGUGAAAUUAUCCAAUGACUUGGAGUCUCUCGCAAAGUUAACUGUUUGAAAAUUGUCACUCUGAGAUCUGCCUUCCCUCUCUCUCUCUCUCUCUUUCUCUCUCUCUCUCUUUCUCUCUAACUCUUUCUCUCUCUCUCUUUCUCUCUCUAUCUCAUUACUAUUUUCGUUUGAUUAUCUUGUUUAAACUGUAUUGUUUGUUUGCUAUAUACUCAUAUUUACUCUGUGUGAAUUGUAGUUAUGUACUCUUUAGUCCGCUUUUAUUAAAUACAAUAAUUUGCUUGAAUUGAACCGUUUUAUUGCUCAUCAAGAUCGAAGUCCCUGAAUCGUGUGAUCUAAGCUACAAGCUUUGUUUUCUAGUAAUUACUAUUCAGUAAUCUAAAUACUACAGACACAGAAAAUAUUGUUCUUCCUGAUCAAAAGAUUAAUAUUUCUUGGAGUUUGUAAGAAGGGUAUUUUUAUUGAUAUUUGAUAAGGGAGUCUAGCAUCCAGUUCGCGGGACGAACAGAUUGUCUAGAUAACUUACAUUAAUUCUAGUAAAGAUUACCUUUAAAUGAUUAAAUAUUCCCUCUUUGGGUAAGUUAAUAUUUGUAAGCAAUAAGCACAUCAUAUUCAUAGACUCAUGAAUAUUCACUUCAUUUGAGUAAUUUAUUUUUUUUUGGUGGAGAAUGCGGGCAGCGUUCAAACUUUGUUUUUGGUGAGCAAUAUUCAUAUUCAUAUUCAUGCAUAUUUUUGGAUGUUAAUAUUAUGCACGCGCAUUUUGAAUUGUAAGUUAAGUCGCGCUUCGAGCGAACUCCUUCGGCACAAAAGCCAGCUGUUCAGCACAUUAACAGUUUCUAAAAAGAAAACCCAUAGUCACUGUUAUUUUUAAUGAAAGUACACUGCAGUAUAAUGUUAAAAGUCUCCUGUUAAGAAAGACCAAGAUCUCUCUGCAGUGAGAACAAUUUAAUAUUAAUAACCCGCCUAUUAAAGACGAAGAAAUCUCUUUUUUAGGACGAGACGUAAAUCUGAUCAGAGCGAAGUUCCUUUGUUUCAGUCGUUAAAAGGCCUUGUAAUUACUUGUAUCGUUAUUGAAUUCGUGGUAAACCACAG